rnacentral:rRNA from 1 species
GAUGAACGCUAGCGGCAGGCCUAACACAUGCAAGUCGAGGGGUAGAAGGAGCUUGCUCCUUUGAGACCGGCGCACGGGUGCGUAACGCGUAUGCAAUCUACCUUGUACAGGGGAAUAGCCCAGAGAAAUUUGGAUUAAUGCCCCAUAGUAUAUAACCUUCGCAUGUUGGUUAUAUUAAAGUUCCAACGGUACAAGAUGAGCAUGCGUCCCAUUAGUUAGUUGGUAAGGUAACGGCUUACCAAGACGAUGAUGGGUAGGGGUCCUGAGAGGGAGAUCCCCCACACUGGUACUGAGACACGGACCAGACUCCUACGGGAGGCAGCAGUGAGGAAUAUUGGUCAAUGGUCGCAAGACUGAACCAGCCAUGCCGCGUGCAGGAAGACGGUCCUAUGGAUUGUAACUGCUUUUAUACAGGAAGAAACCCUCCCACGUGUGGGAGCUUGACGGUACUGGAGGAAUAAGGAUCGGCUAACUCCGUG